rnacentral:rRNA from 1 species
GACGAACGCUGGCGGCGUGCUUAACACAUGCAAGUCGAACGGAAAGGCCCUGCUUUUGUGGGGUGCUCGAGUGGUGAACGGGUGAGUAACACGUGAGUAACCUGCCCUUGACUUUGGGAUAACUUCAGGAAACUGGGGCUAAUACCGGAUAGGAGCUCCUGCUGCUUGGUGGGGGUGGGAAAGUUUCGGCGGUUGGGGAUGGACUCGCGGCUUAUCAGCUUGUUGGUGGGGUAGUGGAUUACCAAGGCUUUGACGGGUAGCCGGCCUGAGAGGGUGACCGGCCACAUUGGGACUGAGAUACGGCCCAGACUCCUACGGGAGGCAGCAGUGGGGAAUAUUGCACAAUGGGCGGAAGCCUGAUGCAGCAACGCCGCGUGCGGGAUGACGGCCUGCGGGUUGUAAACCGCUUUCGCCUGUGACGAAGCGUGAGUGACGGUAAUGGGUAAAGAAGCACCGGCUAACUACGUG